rnacentral:rRNA from 1 species
UUGACCUCGGAUCAGGUAGGAAUACCCGCUGAACUUAAGCAUAUCAAUAAGCGGAGGAAAAGAAACCAACAGGGAUUGCCCUAGUAACGGCGAGUGAAGCGGCAACAGCUCAAAUUUGAAAUCUGGCUCUCGGGCCCGAGUUGUAAUUUGUAGAGGAUACUUUUGAUGCGGUGCCUUCCGAGUUCCCUGGAACGGGACGCCAUAGAGGGUGAGAGCCCCGUCUGGUUGGAUGCCAAAUCUCUGUAAAGUUCCUUCAACGAGUCGAGUAGUUUGGGAAUGCUGCUCUAAAUGGGAGGUAUAUGUCUUCUAAAGCUAAAUACCGGCCAGAGACCGAUAGCGCACAAGUAGAGUGAUCGAAAGAUGAAAAGCACUUUGAAAAGAGAGUUAAAAAGUACGUGAAAUUGUUGAAAGGGAAGCGUUUAUGACCAGACUUGGGCUUGGUUAAUCAUCUGGGGUUCUCCCCAGUGCACUUUUCCAGUCCAGGCCAGCAUCAGUUUUCCCCGGGGGAUAAAGGCGGCGGGAAUGUGGCUCUCUUCGGGGAGUGUUAUAGCCCACCGUGUAAUGCCCUG